UUGUAAUUUUUUCUUUUCUUUUGUCUUUUGCCUACUUUUAACACUUCUAGUUUUCUAUGCACGGCGGAUCUUUGCCAAUAUUUGUGUGUGUGUGUGUGUGUGUGUGUGUGUGUGUAGAGAGAGAGAGAGAGAGAGAGAGAGAGAGAGAGAGAGAGAGAGUAUAUGCAUGAUUCUGUGUGUAUGUGUGUAGAAUUACCUCUGUACAUGAGCCUGUGGUCAACUGCAGGUGUCUUCCUCACUCCUGCUUCACCUUUCUCUUGACAGAGUCUCUCAUUGAAUCUUACUGAUUACCUAGACCACCAGGGCAGCGAGCUCCUGGGGCCUUUGAUCUUUAACCCUUGAGGACUGGGGCUAGAGGCACAUACUGCCCCAUUGGAUCUUUAGUGUGCAUGCUGGGGAACUAAGGAGUUGAACUUGGGUCUUCAUGCUUACACGGGAAGCACUUGACCUUCUCUAGCCUCAUGCCAACUUUGAAUUUUUAAUUCAUGUGUGUAAUUUUAAAAAUCAGUCUAUACACAUAUUUUGUUUCUUGACAAAAUUCGAGAGCCUUGAUAUUUUAAUAAAGACUUUAAAUCUAUUUGUGUUUAUUUCUAUAGCUGACAUCCUUUUUUUUGUGUGUGUUAUUUUGCUUUCUGCCCUCCCCACUUCCUUCUUGACUCUUUAUUUUGUUGCUGCUGCUCCCCCGUUUUCCUCAUAUAUGGACUAGAUUUUCUUCACAUUUUCCUACUUAGGGUUGUCGUACCUGCGUUUCUCUGAAAUUUUAAUUAACAUAUAUAAUCCUAUAUUUCCCUAAUCAUGCCAAGGAUAAAACAAUCUCUUGACCUUUUACUUCGUGAGAUGAUAUAAUUAGCAUGCAACAACUUUUUGAAAAUUAUGUAGAUCAUGAAAAAAUAAUUUUGUUUUAACAUGUUUACCAUACGACAGGCCUGGUACCUUUCCUUCAUUUUAGGAGCUAGUAACUAUUGGAGAAGUUAUGGAAAAUGUUACUACAGAAUCUUAAAUGUUCAGUGUCACCCACUCCAAGCAUUUCAUCACUGAAAGGAAACCACAGAGGUCUCAGUGACUUCGAAGGACUUAUUCUAGGUUCCUAACUUGAAGAGCAGUGUUACACUUCAAAGAUGGGUAUUCACAAAUGCAACUCUUGCUAUUCUAUGGUAGCAUGUAUUUUUCUAGAAGCCAUGGAGAUGGUGAGGAAGCUUGAAAUUAUUUGGGACUGGAGGACAAGUGAGCAGAAGAGAAAGGAUUUGAAGCCUACAGAAAGGAAGGUGGUAGCAUUUGGUUUAGAAAAGGGGGAAAAUAUAUAGCUACAGCUUCAACAGAAAUAUAAAGAAAAUGUGUAGGCUCUCCCUGCUUGCCUCCUGUGUCAUGUCAGGAGGGGUCUCGAGCUGGUGAGAUGUUCUGCUGUGAUAAUAAGUCUCAGAAGAGGUCUUAGUUUGAACAUCUUUGGGUGAUUUGGCUCCUCCUGUGCCGGGAUUUUCCUUCUGUUCGCUUUUAUUGAGUUUUAAUAAGAAACCAUCUGGUGGAAUAUUUUGGACUUAGGUUGAUAUUUAACAUGCAGAACAGGCUGGUUUCAAGAGUGACUAUUUAGCCACCAAAUAAAAUAAAAAAUAAAGGCGACAAUCAUAGCCCAAAUAACACCAUGCUUUAGUCUUUCCUGAUUGACAUAAAGAUUCUGGUCAAUUAUCUCCUAGUCGAGAAACAAAAUCUUUGGGGACCAUCAGCUCAGAAAAAUUCUGGCAUGAGGAAAUGGCUAGCUUCUCUCCUCGGUAUCAGAGAUUCCAGAACUUAACCCACCAGACCUAAAACACGCCCUAUGGGAGGCAGAGCAGAGUCAAACUGGAGCUUCCAUGAACAUGGAUUGCUCCUGGGCAAGGCGGCAAAGCACCUACUCAUUUAGGUGAGGCCCUGUUCAUCGCUAAAAUGUUUCUUUUAUUUUUUCUUUAAUUGUUUUUAUACCAGGUACAAUAACUACCUGCUAAAAUAUUGAGAUUACUGAAAGGAGGCAAGCUAGAAAGAAGGCAUGUUCGAGUCUUUUUUUUUUAAAGCUUUUCUUUGUCAGGGGACAAGUUGACAUCCAGAUAUUCUGAAGAAUUACAUUCUUCUUUUCCAUCUUUCUUCUCCUCCAUGUGUCUUUCAUGCCAAGGACUAUGGUCGCUGUCAGUGUCAUUCUGUGGGUAAUGUUAUUAGCUCCAUUUUGAAGACAAAACCUCAAACACACUUACUCGAGGUCAUAUACAAACUAUCUCUCCAAACUGGAAAAUAACCCAUGUACACUUACUUUUUCAUGUGCAUGGAACCACCAGCCCUAAACAUGGUGUAAAUAUCUGCUUAUACCUAUCCUCUGGGUGAUGUUGAUAUUUAGAUACGACUCAUUCUCUUCUGACUGGUGGCAUUCCUUUUAGCACGAUCCUGGGCGGAUUUGACCCUUGCAAACAGUUGUAACUCGUCUUCACACUGGUGGCUUGUGCUGGCUGGUGCUAUGUCAGCGGCACACAAGGCAGAAUUCCCUGAAAGGACGGAACCUAAAUCGAGAAAACUUCCUCCAUCAGCUCUGGCUGAAAGGUAUAUUUUCAUUAGUUAUGAUAGGGAGGGCCCAGCUCAUGGUGGGUGGUGCCAUCCCUGGGCUGGUGCUACUGGGUUCUGUAAGAAAGCAGGCUGAGCAAGCCAUGGGAAGCAAGCCAGUAAGCAGCACCUUCCAUGGCCUCUCCAACAGUGUUUACCUUCAGUUUCCUGCCCUGCUUGAGUUCCUGUUCCGACUUCUCCCAAUGAUGGACUAUGAUAAUGAACAUUUAAACCAGAUAAACUCUUUUCUUCCCAGCUUACUUUUGGUCAUGGUGUUUUGUCACUGUAAUAGAAACCUAGACUAAGACAGUAUUACUGUCAGUCCUUGGAACUGUUCUAAUACAUUUGCAUCUACACGUUCAAUUUCAUUAACUUUUUGGACUUAUGUCAUUCACUCAAUAUAGUGUAAGGCUGGCUACUGGGGCUCAGGGUUAAAGGUCACAUACUUCUCAUGUCAUGAAAUCUAUUGACUCUGCUUUAUUUGCAUGCAGGAUGAUUAAAUUUGAAUGGAAUACUGCUACUGGAUAGGUCUGUCCUACGAUUUUUAGGCUUUUAAUUCGAGUUCAAAAUAGAAACCACAGUUUGCGGUUAUGAAUUCAGUGGCAACAUGCUUGUCUGGAAGGUGCAACAGCCCAGGUUCAAUCCCCAGCACCAUAAACUGAACACUUGAUACCAUAAUAUCAGCUUCUCUCUCCACACACAUCAUUUAUAAAUAUUAUUUACAAGAUAUAUGUCACAUGACUAUAUGACAAUGAAGGUCAAAUGUCUUAUAUUAUGGCUUUGCCUCAUCAAAAUAUCGAUAUAUUUGUUCCAUUGCAUGGAGGCCUGGGUGCAACGUUGGGUCAUCAUAUGGUCUAAGAGCAUGGUGACAAUGCUGACCCUGUGGAGUGGUCCAAGGCUGAGGCUGUGAUUCCCAGCCUUGCUGCUCAUCUGGGAGAUCUAAGAAGUAUAUAUGGAUGCUCUCGCUUCAGUCUGGAAACGGAAUCAGAAUUGUAAAAAGUCCUUAGGAUCUGAGUUUUAAACAGCUCAUUACUCAGUUCAGUAUUUCUGGAUCUAUAGUCAGGAUAGCUGCUCACCUUGAUGAUUGUGUAUGUGGAUGUACACAUGUGUAUGUGUAUGUAUACAUGUGUAUGAGGAUGUACACAUGUGUAUGUGGAUGUACACAUGUGUAUGAGGAUGUGUAUAUGACACAUUAAACAGGAGCAUCUUAUAACGAGACAGAAUUCUCUGUACUCUCCUAGUAAAGUGCCCCAACUCUUACCCUACACUUAUUUUCUCUACAUUACACUAUCUUUGAUAUUUAUACCCUAUAUGUAGCAUACACAAAGAUAUAUGCUCCCUUACAAGAGCUAGAUUAUGUAUUGGUAAUAUCUUUCCUCUCUUGGGCAUUAGGACAUACACUAGAACUUGAGAAGCUGUGUGUUAACGUGUUGGACAGCAACAGUAGCUGAUGGACUGAGUGGAGUGGAGCUAGCAGAUGAGUGAUCAAUGAGUGAUCAAUCACACAGGCCUCAGAACAAAUCCCAGUUUCAUUGUGUGACUCUGGGCAAUCCCAUUCUCCAAUUUCCGGUUCUAUGAAAUAGGCAAAUACCUUCAUCUCCUGGUUGUUUGGUUAAAUAGUUUAUAGAUGGUAUCUUGCAGCUGGUAACUAGCCAGUGCUUAGAGUGCUUAGUCAGUGCCAUGGGUUAGUACCACAGUCACUCAGGGUGAGUCUUCCCUUUUUAGUUAAACUUUACUGGAAACAGCCUCAUAGACACAUCCAGAGAGGCGUCUCUUAGAUAAUUCUAAAUCCUGAUGAUGGAGACAAGCAAUCACAGGGUUUUGUUUGUUUUUAGUGCCCUCCUCAAAUUAAGUCCCUUCUUGUAGUAAGUGUUUACACAGACCUUCCAGAUCCUCUAACCAGUUUGAUCUUUCUAUCACACAGAAAUGUUCUUUCCUUUCAUGUUCCAGAGAAAAAGAUGGACCAAAAUCCAAACAGCAUUUGCCACCCACAUGUGGUCCACCUAGCAAAUGGCGUUCAGAGAAGGGGGAAAUCUAAGUUUUUAAGUUCUGGCUGUUCCACAGAAAGGAUCUGGUUCAAAGAGGCAUAGACAAUAGAAGAUGCUACAAGAAGUACCAGCAAGAAACAGUAGCUGCACCAUGAAAGAACGGAACUAGAGACCCUGCAUGACUUAUGUCGAUGACAAUAUUCAUGACUCCAAGUAAGGGUGAAGAAACACUAGAUCGAACGGGAAAACUACCUAGUAAAGAAGCGGCAAUGCAGGUUGGAAGGCGUUGUGUCUGAAUGUGUCUGUACACCGUGGGGAUGCAUUGCCCACAGAGGGCAGAGGGCACACCAGAUCAUCUGGGGAUUUUAAAUGAACCAGGAGUGGACAGUUGCUCGAAUGAAGACAGUGAGAAGAACAAGUCAUGGUGCUGGAGCUGGAGCUGGAAGGAUCUACUUUAGACACGUCAGGCACCGGGUGUGUCUUAGGUGUCAGUCCGUGCCAUGAUCUAUGGGCAUGGGUGUCAGUGGAGGAGCUGAGCUACAGGCACACAUUUAUUCUAUCCAAGAUAUCAGAUUAAGUUUUCAAUGGUGUAGAAAAAUAGAAGAGAGACAAGGUCCAGAGCCCGAGCCUCAGGCGUAAGUGCCAAGAUGAGAGGAAACAUUGGGAAAGCAAAGAGUAAAGACCCGAACAUUGAGAAGAAAGCCGGUUAAGCAAAUCUAGGAAUCCCAGCAGACAGAACGGUUUCAAGGAGUAGAGUGGUCUGGCCCAAAUCUUCUUGUUAACUGAAUAAGAGGAGGCCAGGGAUGACCACGAGCCUAGUAAAGAAGAAUCUUUGUCACCUUGAUAAAAUGUCACCUGCCGAGGAGUGCAGAUGCAGCCUGACGGGGUUAAGGUCAAGAAAGAAUGGGAAGACAGCAAUUGGGGACGGAAGGCCAGUCGCUUUUUCAGAGAGUUUUCCUUAAUGAUGGAAGAAGUCAUAAGCCCAUGACUAAUAGAUGUAUGUGGAAGUUUGGGAAGGCAAAGGAGUUAUAGAUUGGUUUGGGGAGUGAUGAGGAGGGCUAAGAAAUUAGACGAAUAUUGCCGGAUUGACUGGGGGUGUGAAGAAAAUUCCAUGAGAGGGGCGCUGGUUUCCUGGCGCUACUCAUGCUGGUCCUUAGCAAACAAACCAGUAUUCCCGGAGGAGAAGGCUAUUUCCUGCUGAGAAAACAGGAGGAAGGGAAUAAGGGUGCUAAACUUUUGCUGAUAGAACCUAAGUUAGCCUUCUAGACCACCCCACGGAAUUCCCAGGCAUCUCCUUCCUACUUCUUCCUCUUGUCCUUGAUUCUUUUCCUUACCGGUGUUGACGCGGGUACCUAUGCUGGUGGCGAGUGGGUUUCAGGGAGCAGAUGGGUUUUCUGCACCUCUCUCCAACAGCAUUCCCCACUUUACUCUCUAAUGAGAAAUGAGCACGUUUUCAGUGGCUUACGGUCCGCUGGAUCCUUCCCUGCUAUGUGUCGCUGGAGGUCAAUUGAACGUGCCUCGGUAUAUUUUCCUUCUGGGUCUGAGUCUGAAGGAAGACUCCACAUGUGCAUCAUGCUAUUCUCUGGGCGGAAGGAAAAGAGCAAUGGCGGAGUCACAUGAUGCCCACCGAGCUUCUCUCUGGAAGUGGUAAUUGUCACUUUUGCUUACAUUUUACUACAGAAGCCAAGUCCAGGGCUAAGAUGAUGUCAAUGGGAUAAGAAAGUACAUGCUUCUUUUUCAGAAGGAAAACAAAUAAUUUGGAACAAUCAUAUAAUUAGCUACAAAUUUUUCCAGGUGUAGCUGGAAAAAAAAAUCCUCCUCAAACAAUACAAUGGGGCAAAUUACCUCUUCUCAACCAUGAUUGACAUCUAGCCCUCGGGGGUAACCUCAAGGAGAUUAGACACUUCGGAUGAAUUUCUGGGUAUAAUUUUACGUCUGGGCCCGAGGGUUAUUUAGCUUUAGAAUUUAGAAAAUACCCUACCUUCAGGGAGUUGAAGCAUUUCAUCUCAGAUGUUCUGGGCAUUAUAAUUGUAAAAAGGAAGCACGCCCAAUUUUAUAAGAUACAUAAUAUAAGCAGGGAGAGCAAGUCCCAUCUAGACCUGUCAUUGGGGAUGCUCUUACAGUCUGCAUUCUCAAGACCUACUUAAAAAUAAUACGAAAUAAGAAGCAAUAGGAGGAAGGAUCUGCGUUUUCAACUCAGUAAGAGAAAAAAAAAAUCCAAAUUUGGUAAAGAAUUCUUUAUUCUUUACCUACCAGGGGGGUUUUCAUAGCUUAACAAAAAAGCUUGGGUAGUUUUCUUCACGAUGCUAUGCCGCCAAGCUUCUGGCUUCAUGACUUCCGGUGCCCCGCAGGAAGCAAUGGUGUGAACGUGAACGCCUAGUCACGGUCUCACGUCAGUGAGAAAGAAGACUGAGAGCGAAGCCCCCUAUGUCCUAGCUGAUGCGGCCCUUAUCUGCCGGCUUCAUCUUUUUUCUUUUUUUCUUCUUCUUUUCUUUCUUUCUUUUUUUUUUUUUUUGAGCUGGGAACCGAACCCAGGGCCUUAUGCUUGCUAGGCAAGCGCUCUACCACUGAGCUAAACCCCCAACCCCCAAUCUGCUCGCUUCAAUGCCUCCGUGUUUCCUUCCAUUAACAUAGGAUCAUACACAGUCUUUAUCUUAAUGAGUCUUUUCCUCUUUGUUUACGAAUAUAUGAUUGUGACCAUGGACAAAGGACAUGCCAGGAACUUAGCCAGAGCCCAAACUGUAUCGCUGUAGGGUUUUCUCCUCAUAGAUUUGUCCAAUGACCCAGCUCGGGAGAAAACAGUCAGGUGAUGCGUUCCCAGUGGUAGCUCACUUCCCACCAGCGCACCACUGGUGCCCUCAUUAGGGUGAUUUUCUUCCUCCCAGAAGCUUUUUUUCAGUUCACCUCAGCCUCCCACCACAGUGAAUUUAUUGUCUGUGAAGGGGACUGGGUAGCUGUCCCCUGAGACAGUAUUUGGUUUAUUUUUAGUGCAGGCAGUUUGGAAAAAUGACUUUCUCUGUGUACAAGCACUCCUUUCAUUCUGACUCAGAGUCGGACACUUCUCACCCUGUAAGCAGAUCUUCCCUGCCUUCAUUUUGAAGAUAGAAGCAGCGUUAUAUCACAAGGAAAAAGUUACCAGGAGGUGUCAUUCGAAAAGUGUUUUCCUUGGGUUUGCCGGCCUUGGAUCUGUAGAGAUGUUUAGUUGUGUAAAAUUGCAAGUUAGUCUGACUAAAUUGGGCAGCUUGCUAGUAAGCAUUCCACUCCCUCGGUCCCAAUUGAUCCCCUGAGCCAUCCGUACUCCCUAAAAGUGUUAUUAUUACUAUGAGGCUACAUGCUCAAAAAUUAUUUCCCUUGGGAACGCACACCUAACCCAGACAAAAAGAUUACUUUUUUGUAUUUGUUGUUUUACUUUUCCAAUACCCGGUGUCCCAGAUCUCUUGUUUAUCUCUGUCUUCUUACCUUAGGUCUUACCCUGAUGUUCCAGUUCCCUGUCCACGGCUAGGGUGAACCGUAUGAAAUUGCCAAUAUUCCAGAGAUUUUUUUUUCUGACCUACCAAGGCAGUGAUGAUUUCAUACAGUUGAGGAUAACGCAGUUAGAACGAAGUGGUAAAUUGGGAAAAUUCUCAUGCGAAAAAAAAAUGCAAAUUUAUUGACCAAAUCAACUACAACUUGAUAACACGGAAGAGCGUAGAGCGUGUAUCCAAGCUUCAACACGGUUCUUUGAAACAGGGAGGAUAAUUAGCAUAUUAAAUGAGAAGUUAAUAUUUUGGAAUACUGCAACAGAAUUUCCACUUCUAAUAUGAAAAAAAAAAGUUUAACUGAGAUGCGCACAUGGAUGUUAAUGUGCCAAGAUUCUCUGUGUGCAGUGGCCGUGACCACCACUUGGCUGGUGCAACGUGUUCAGAUCUCUAGAAAAACUCACUCCCUCUCUCUCUUCUCUCCCUCUCUCCACCCCCUUCCUCCCUGCUUCCCCCUCUUUUCAUGAUUAGACUUACGAAGAAGUCCCACUGACCUACUCUCAUUUUGUCUACAUUCUCUCUUAUUCAUCGUGUCUGCUGUGGUCUGGUUUCCAUCCCCAACACAUGUGUAUAUACACACAUGUAUAUAUAUGUAUGUAUGCAUUCAUAUAUGUAUGUCUUUUAACCAAGGCCACUAAUGACUUUGAAUAAUUCAAAGGAAGCCUCUUUUGGCCUUUAUCUUUACUUAGCUUCCUUGCCAGGUUCGAUAGGACGACCUGUGUCCUGCUUCUAAGUAUUUCAUCUCCUUCCCCUGACUUUGCAUGCUCUGUUUCUUGUGGUUUAUGGAUACGCCCCCAAUCCAGGUUAGCCUCAGUUAGACACAAAACAAGACCGGGCUUUGGUUACUGUGUAUCUCAGAGCCCAGGUUAGAACCGAUGCCCAAAGGUCCUUGUCUCUAUUUGUGGAUUAAAUGAAAGGUGGAACUGGAGAGUUCACAGCGCUGUGCUAAUCCUUAGUCCUUGCUGAUACUUUGUUUCCUUGUGCUUCAGUCCCUGCUUCCAGAAGUUCUAUACGGAUUACAGGAGUACACCAAUCCCAUCUUUAUUAAGGUCUAGCAGUGAAACAGCUACAUCCUUCAUGCUUCCAGCUCUGAUGCUGCCCCAGUGGUUUCUCCUCACAUGGCUUCCUGGAGCUCUGAGCAGGCAUGCUACACCAUGCCUCUCGUGUUUUUAGUAACUACUGCCUCAGAAGGGAAAACAGUCAUGCCCUUUCCCCCUUCCCGAGAUGUGUCACUUAGGGAGCCAGGAAAGUGCAUCCCGCAAACUGCUAUCACUUGUUGCUCCCUUAGACGCAUGACCCGACAGAGGGCAAAACAACCCCAAUGUGACUCCUAAGGAACAAAAGAAACACAGGAGCAGAGACUGUGACCCACGUGUGAGCUUUAUGCAAGUGUGAUUUCUGCUGUUUUGGUUGGAAAACAGCUGCAGGUGUCCUCUAAUUAUAACCCCAUUUUCACAAAUAUCAACUGUCAUAUUUAAUCUGUUAUACCCAACAUAUAGCCCACUGUUAGAGCACAGUCCUUUCAUUAUAAAUUUAGUAGCAGAAUUUCAAAUGCUCGAGCUAACAUUCAGGCUAGUCAAUUAAUGCAUUAUUUACAAGUUAAAUGUUAUUAAAAACAGGUUCUUAAUUUGCUAAUGAUUUAGUAGACCCAAGGCAAUAUUCCAAUUUUUUUUUCUUCCGUUGAAAGUGGGAAAAGGUUUAGAACAGUUGGGGUAGGAGGGAAUGUGAGGGAUAUUUUGGCUCCCUCACCAUCUGAAUUUCGUUUCGGCUUUCUUCUUUAUUGUGUGUUGGUUUGGAGGCCUUUAUUAGCGUCAUCCUAUUGGAGAAGAAAGACUCACACAAAACACGAGCAACACAGAUGCCAUUGUGAAGGGUAGGUUCUGAAAACGUCACCAGGCAGUUUGUAAGGACUCUGUACAGUCCCGUGUAUUGUGAUAAACCACCUCGGGAACUGCACAGCAGGGUCCAGAAGGUCAGAAGUCAAGGAAUUUAAACGUCAUUAGCAGCCCACCAUUGUCCAGCUAUACAAACAGAAUAUAUGUCUUUUUAAAAUAUGCUGUGAAAAGUGUCCUUUCUGAGAUUCUGGGGUCUCAGAAUAAUUACCACACUCUGGGUUGUAUUUUGUUGUUGUUGUUGUUUUAGUUUUUUCUUUGUCAUUGUCCCCGAUUGUUCUCGAUGCACGAUGUCCUUGGUGUACGUUGCUCUACAACGAACUCCUGACUCAGAGAAGAGGACCUGGGGAAUUCUGUGGCGGACGGGCUCUCAUGUACCAUGAAUUCAGUUGCCCCUUGUGUAACAGUCUCUGCAGAGAUUCUCUUGACUGGGACUCUGACUUUUAACCUCCUUGUUUUCCUUAGCUGCCACCUUUUAAUUUCUCAAAACCUCAAAGUCCACACUCUUAAAGAAACUGUGUCAGAACUAAGUCUGCCCCACAGCUCUCAUUCUGUUCUCAAAUGGAGUGACUUAUUGUAUAGAUUUAAGGUCUUCAUAUGCCAUGCUGGUUUGAUGCACAUACUCGUACUGACAUGGUCUCUCUAGUUAAGCAAAUAAGCAUGUCUGUAUCAAACAUUGUUUUCCUUCUUUCUCCUUCCCCCAUUCCCUCCCUUCUCUUCCUCUUUUUUUCACUGAGAUGACGAUAAUCUUUAAAAUCUAUAUUCUUGUUCUAAUUCUUCUCUGAGUUUGGCGUUGUUCUGUUUUUGAGACUGGGUCUUAUUUGUAGUUGGUCUUAAAUUCAUGGUUUUCCUGUCUCAGUCUUUGAAAUCCUGAGAUUUACAGGUAUAGGCUACCGUGCUUGGCCUUCUCUGAGGUUUUUUUUUCUUUUCUUCGGAGCUGAGGACUGAACCCAGGGCCUUGCGCUUGCUAGGCAAGUGCUCUACCACUGAGCUAAAUCCCAAACCCCCUUCUCUGAGGUUUUAUAGGUCUUUUUAUUUGUUUCAUACAAUGUAUAUACCUAUGUGCUUUUCAUAUAUAUAUGUGUGUGUGUGUGUGUGUGUGUGUGUGCGUGUGUGUGCGUGUGUGUGUGUGUGUGUGUGUGUAUGUAUGUAUAUAUAUACACAGUAGUAUAUUGAGUAAACAACAGCAGCACUAAUCUGCUGCACAUUAGUAGUAUGACCUGAAUCACACUCUCUCCCUUCAUUUCAGGAAACUCACCCUUCUCUCUGCUCACUGGCCCUCUCAUUCAAGGUGUACUGUAUAACCCAGGAUGAAUGCAGAUCUUCUUGCCUCUGCUUCCCAAGAACAUGGACCUACAGACCUGUGCCACCACGUCUGUCUGUCCCAUUUCUUAAAUGGAGAAGACUCUCCUCAUUUAGUUAAUUAGAAUCAGUGAGAUUAUGUACUCUCGUGAAAAAUUGAGUUAAAUGGUAGGACCCAAAAUAUACCUGUUGUUGUUGCCUUAAUGAAGUAAAAUCUUUUCAUCUAUUUGUCUUUCUGUCUAUCUGUCUUCAUCACCAUCAUUUAUCUAUCCCCUGUCUUCUAUUCAUUUAAUCCAUCUUCUAUUACUAUAUGCUUAUCUAUCUAUCUAUCUAUCUAUCUAUCUAUCUAUCUAUCUAUCUGCAUAGUCCCAGACUUGUGUUUGGCCCUGAAAAAUCUUAAUUCUCUUUGGCACCAAUAAAUAUGUCAUAAGCAUUUCUCAUUUCAAAUUUCACUCAGAACACAAUUUUCUCAAGGACAAGGGUUAAGCUCCUUUCCCCUGGCUCUCUUGUUUGUGUAGAAUGUGGAUGAGUGCUGCGUCCGCCAUGUUCUAGGAGCUAUUGUAUGUCUUGGCAAAUACCCUCUUCCCCUAUCAACCACCCAUAUAAUAAAACUCUGGAAUUUUCAUUUUACCUCUUUCCAGCCUGAGAUAUUACCUUUCAAAGUAAAUUAUUGGCACACAAGCCUUGAUUCAGGAGGAACUAAAACAAAGAUAAACAGGUUUUGAACAAUAGACAAAGAUAAGAUAUUAAACACUGUGUAGAAGUUUCUAUAAUGGAGUGUAUUCAUUCCCUUGGUAAACACACUGAAUAACAUUUGGUACCUGGUUUGUAACAUAUACUCUCCAGUGAUGGGAGAUGAUGAUCCAAAUGGACCAGGUCCUACUCCCCUACAGAAAGAGCCUUUACUGUAGGGAAGAUAUAUGAAAAGGAGCAAGUCAGCAUGCAAAACCAUAGCAAGGAGCUUCAAGUGUUUAAAGACAAAAAUGGCAAGGGGAGAGUUGGGCACAGAAGGAGGUGGCACUGCCCUGUAAGGUGAGGCUUAAAACAGCAAAAGUAGAACAAUAUGCUUGAUCUACUGCCUUCUUCUGGAGUUGUAGCUAAACCAACAGACAAAACCAACAAACUGAAAACACCAAAACCAAAACAAAGACCUGUCCUAGCCUCGGGUAGCCUGGGGAUAGAGCUAUAAACAUGGCUGGAUCAUAAUCCCAGUUAGAGAAAUGGGCUGCAGGGGUUUCUGAGGGUGUGGUCUUCUCUGCAGAGUUACUGGGCUCUUCAGAACUAGCCCCUAAGACUGGUCUUUGCUCUCAGCUCCUGUGCAAGUCCGCUCCAUUCAUAUACCCUUCAUUCUCCAGCUUCUCUCCUCACUUGCCCAUGGUGUCUUCUUUCUCUUUCCAACUUCUCAUAGAAAAUGAGAAUUUGUAUAAAAUUAAGAACAUACUUUAUCUCAUUUGAUUUUCAUCCAAUCUUGACAACUAAGCAAUCACAGUCUUUUUUGUCCAUAGCUAUUCGACUGUCUUAGUAAAUUUGGGGCUCAACAUCAGCCCUUGCCAUCCUCACUGAGGUUACCUGACUCUUAGAGACUGAGACUUUAUGGAUAUUGCCACCACCACACCCUUCUGAUCAGUGCCGGUUCAGAUUACCCUUGGUCUGGAAGUUUAGCUCUGUAUGGUCUGAAGGCAAACAACUGCAUCAAGAAAACCUUCAUGAACAGGCCCUGCCUGUUGUAUCUUAACUUAGCCCAUUUGUUCUAUUAUUGACUGUAUGGAUUGAUUUCUCAUUGCUAUCUUAAAGGUAACCAUGAUUUGAAUAUGAACUGUUGCCACAGUCUCAUGUGUUUGAACACUUGGUCUCCAGCUGAUGCCUGGCCUAGAUGGUAUGGAACAUUUAGGCCACAGUUACUAUCUGGCUAGCAUAAGCCAUUAGGAGGCAGACAUUAUCGAGUUACAGUCCAACCUGUCAUUGGGUUCUGUUCUCUGCUUCCUGAUCCACAAACUGCAAAAAGAGCUGUUACUUGAAGUAUAGUGGAUGGCAGUGUUCUACCUGGGGUUGUAUAGCACUUUCCUUUGAAUUGAAACAUUCCUGCCUAUCAGAAUCAUCAUUAAAAUUCAUGGAGUUCUAAAGGGAAGGUUGCUAAGACUUAGGAAAGAGACAACUCAGAAGUCUCAGGAAAUUCCCAAAACUUACUACAUGCAUAAAAUCCCUCCCUUUCCUAGAUAAUAUGAGCAAUAAGAGCUACUGAAAAGACUCUGAGCUAGAUACUGCUUGUAAGUCUUACAAUGAACAUCAGGGUUCCAGCUUUGUUUAGUUGUCAAUCUUGUUGGGGUGAGCUUUUUGGUGUUUGGACUGUCUUUGAGUCAUUUCUGACCUAAAUAUAACAUGUAUGUAACUCUUCACCUAUAAACUCAUUGCUUUACAAGUUUGACUUUGGUAUAAUUGUUAUUUUGGUCUGUCAUUUAGUUCCCUAUUUGGGGUGAAUAGAGACCUAUAUCAUGCCUCCCAGGAAAAGUAUUACAUAAUAGAUGGACAAUUAUAUCUUGAAAUGAGACAAAAUAGACACAUUUCCUACAGGGAUUUGGUCAAAAAAAUACAUAAUUUUAAGAUUAAUAUUAAAGUAGCUAAUACUGAAUAUUCCUUCUUUUUUGAGAAAACUCCAAGUGAAAUUUGAUCUAAUCUUCCUGAUCCAUCCCCUGCCUACUGGGUCUUUUUAUUCCUUUGACCAUCCUCUGUGGUUCUAAGUCUACGUGACUCCUUCAUUCAGUGAUGGGGAAAAGGGGAUACUCACAGACUCUCUCCUCUGUGGGAUGAACAUACGCUGAAGAAUUUAUGGUGUAGGCCUGGAGCUUCUUUUGGGUUUGGAGUUGGAAAUUGUGCAGUUUUGAAAAGUUUAGCCCUAAUAUUCUAGAGAGCAUAUAAGACAAUCUAGUGGACUUUGAAUGGAUGGCUCUUAACUUUGGGAAAUAACAUAGGAUGAAUGUUCACAUAUGGCUGUUUCUCCUGACACAGUCUGACAAUGCUGAGGCUAUUAUCUAUCUAUCUAUCUAUCUGUCUAUCUAUCUAUCUAUCUAUCUAUCUAUCUAUCUAUCUAUCUAUCUAUCUAUCUAUUUUUGUAUUGUAUAGAUCACUCCAACUAAGAUUCUUUAGUCCUUGCUUAAAGUAGAUAAGGUCAGUAUUUUCUAAUUCCAUUUAAUGAUUUCACUGUUUACUUUACCUUCGGAACACUGCUUCUACUUUGCAAUUAUUGAAUAAAUUGGUUGUAAUGAUUUGUUAAAUAUUCAAAAUCAUAAAAGGGAAGUCUUAGAACGAAGCAGAUUUGGUUCCUUGUUGCUGAUGGUGCGGUGUGUCAUGUGGCCCCGAGCAGAUAUCUUACAUGGCUGUUAAGUCUAUGCAACAGCAGCAUUGUCGUUGUUUGGUUGUUGGGGAUUUUAAAGGUGUUACUAUGGGCAGGGGUCUGUGCGAUGCUUGAGUAAGUCAGUGUUCCGUGUCUGUUAGAUCAUGUUUCGUUCUGUUGCAUUACGUGUGAGAGAGUAUAUGCAUAUUGCUAGGCACGGCCUUUCUUUUCUUGUCAGUUCUGCUGCCAUUGGAAAUAAUGAUCCCUUUUGCUUUUAACUCUCCCAAUUGUUGAAAAGUUCAGAAACAGAGAAUAGAUUCAGUGGUUGCCCAGGCCUGGGGGAGUGGGGGUGAGGAUGAAGGUACAGAGUGACUAUGGUCUGGGAAAAGAAAUGCAGGAGCUGUCAGUGUCAUGACUGGGGUGGAUACAUGAACUGACGUAAUUGAAAAAUUGCACCAGACCGAACAUAUACACAGUUGAGAGCAAGCUACACCUAGAAACCCUGAAAAAGAUUUGUGGGUUCACUCAUGUCUUUACUUGGUUAUGAUACUGCAGAAUUGUUUGGGGGUGAGGUUAGCAUUUGAGAAACUGGGGAGAAACCCAAGAUCUCUCUAUUAUAGUUUCAUGUGAGUUUACAAGGAACUAAGAAUAAAUGACUUAAUCAGAAAAAAGAUAUCAUGGUUUCAGUGGUACAUGAUUUUAACAACAAGACUUGUUGUUCCUCUUCAGCCAAGUCCCCUUCUGCAAUGAACUGCCCCUGCCUUCUGGGAGAGUUCUCUUUCUUGGUUCUUUCUUUUAAAAUUUUUUUUCAUAAUUCUUACUUCCCCUUGGCAUAUUUUGUUUACUUGUUUAUUUGCUCAGUAGCUAUUGAUUGACACAGUCAGACACAAGGUUUGAGCUCUCAGAGCAAAGAGAAGAAGGAAGUGAAAGUUGGAACAAUUUGCCAACUCACAGCCUGUAAGAAUAAAAGCUUUGUGAAGGGACUUAAGGUUUCAAAAUAUCUUGUAUUCCUAAUGCCUCGGACAAACCAGGCUCUUUAAUAUAUUUUUUAGGUGAAUGACUCAGCAGGUUGCUGAGGAUGGUAACUAAGGUUCAUGUCUAGUUGUCUUUCUUGUCCUUAGCAUAGUGCCUUGUACAUUCAAAGUGUUUAACAAGUGUUGGUUGGUUCAGAACUAUUCAAUCUUUGACCUGUUCUGGGCCACCUUGCCUUUACAAAGUAAAAAAUUCAAGAAUCACAUAAUUUAGUUAAAAAAAAAAUCUCCCCUCUCCCUCCCAAAAACUCCUGCAUAAUGGUUUAAGUAAGUUCACGAUUUUGUAGGGUCACAGUCAUAGCUUUCUUGGGCUGGCCAAAGGCUGGCUGGCUACGUCUACUUGGUAAGAUUGGCGUCUGUGCAUCCCUGCAGUCGUUUAAAACACACAAUGAUUGUGACUGAGGGCCUAGGCUGGCUUGGUUGGUUUGAAGUUGUGUCCAGAACAUUUCAGCAUUGGAGCAAGUCCCUAAACAUUAAUGAGAGCUGGUCAAUGAUCUUAUUGAUCACGUAAGCUCAGAAUUGGAGACUGAGGCCCACAGAUACUCAGUGACUUAAGAAUUGUUUGAAGGCCAGGGGACCGCAGAGCUGGAGUUUCACCUUGCCUUUCUAAUUCUCAAACUGUGGUGUUUUUUGACUCUCAAAGUGCUUGCGAUUGUCCUGGGGUGUCUCACUUGGGCCAUAAGCCUCUCUGUUACCUGCUGGCCACUUCUUCAUUUGCCCACAGAGGUCCAUGUGGUGGUGCAAAAAUCUCCUGAGAGACAGGUGGGCAGGUUAGGUUGGAUUGGACACACCCGCUCCCCAGAGGACAGCACGUCCUCCAGGCUCCACAGCACCAGGAGACAUUGUCAUGUUAACAGAGCAGAAGGGAAUGCUUCCUUUUGGCCACCAUUGACUUUGUCAGACAACGGUGCCAUUCAGCUUGAAAAACUCCACUGGGAAGUUGCAGGCUUUAAAAACUAAUUUGGUGUUUAUUCAACUUUGCAAUCACUUCUGUGUACUAUCUGUGUUUCACACACCGUGAAACGGCGCUGCACUGUGCAAUUGAAUUAGUUGUACAGUGACUCAAAGGCACUAAACAAUGACUUUGAUAUUUUAAGUACUGACUAGGAGGGAUUUUUUAAUUCCUGCCUCAUAAUGAAAGCAACAACAAGUACAAAAAAAAAAAAAAGCCGUCGGUUACACAACCCUGGAAUACUUACACUUUUCUAUUCUGGGUGGACCCCACUGAGACAGAAAAGAAAAAAAAAAAACCCAACACAAAACAACAAAACCCUCGGAGCAUUUAGUUUGCUUAAUGGCAGAAGAAAAAUUAAACAAGCGUAGACGUGCAACCUUAACGACACCCAGUAACACUAGAAUAACAGUUCCCAGCUUCUAAAACCUGUUAUUUAAUAUAAUGGGUAAAUCUUGUGGGAGCUUUUCAGGUGUUGCUGAGUCUGAAAAAGCAGGCAUGUGGUGGGGAGGGGUGGGGGCACAGGCAGAGCAAGUGCCUCCCUGCUACUCGUUUGUCGAGGAGGGUCUCAACACGGGACCCGGAAUACUGGCAGCGUCCCCCAGGCUGUGGCUGGAACAAGGCUAGGCCUGUGUGCUGUCGGCUCUACCAGGAUAAGAGCAAACCUUCCACGCAUAGCCUUACUGACAA